GACGAACGCUGGCGGCGUGCCUAAUACAUGCAAGUAGAACGCUGAAGGAGGAGCUUGCUCUUCUGGAUGAGUUGCGAACGGGUGAGUAACGCGUAGGUAACCUGCCUGGUAGCGGGGGAUAACUAUUGGAAACGAUAGCUAAUACCGCAUAAGAGUAGAUGUUGCAUGACAUUUGCUUAAAAGGUGCAAUUGCAUCACUACCAGAUGGACCUGCGUUGUAUUAGCUAGUUGGUGGGGUAACGGCUCACCAAGGCGACGAUACAUAGCCGACCGGAGAGGGUGAGCGGCCACACUGGGACUGAGACACGGCCCAGACUCCUACGGGAGGCAGCAGGAGGGAUUCGUCGGCAAGGGACGGAAGACUGACCGAGCAACGCCGCGUGAGUGAAGAAGGUUGUCGGACCGGAAAGCUCGGUUGUAAGAGAAGAACGAGUGUGAGCGUGGAAAGUUCACACUGUGACGGUAUCUGACCAGAAAGGGACGGCUAACUACGUG
rnacentral:rRNA from 1 species